UACAGAGGGUGCAAGCGUUAAUCGGAAUUACUGGGCGUAAAGCGCACGUAGGCGGCUUUGUAAGUUAGAGGUGAAAGCCCAGGGCUUAACCCUGGAAUUGCCUUUAAGACUGCAUCGCUAGAAUUGUGGAGAGGUAAGUGGAAUUCCGAGUGUAGAGGUGAAAUUCGUAGAUAUUCGGAAGAACACCAGUGGCGAAGGCGACUUACUGGACACAUAUUGACGCUGAGGUGCGAAAGCGUGGGGAUCAAACAGG
rnacentral:rRNA from 1 species